AUCUUUUUAAUUACUUAUUUAUUUCAAGUAAAUAAAUAUGUAAAAUUUUUUUUUCAAAAAAAGGGUGGGUUUUAAAUACACGCGCGAAAAAGAUCGCGCGGAGAUUGAUAAUGAUCCUUCCGCAGGUUCACCUACGGAAA
rnacentral:misc_RNA from 1 species